AUAAAGUCAGCGCUGGUUUCGCUGCCGUGAAUUCUUUACUAAAAGGAACAGCGAGUCCUCAGCCACCGGAGCCCAGAGUGAGAGUUCUCUUAUAGCACACAGCUGCCAUGAGCCGCCGGGUGAUCGCACUCAUACUCUAUACACUGGGUUUCGGAUUUGUUUUGACCAGUGAUCAGAAAGACAAUCCGUCAAAAGAGCAUCCCUUUAAAGAAUACUCCACUGAAAAAACUAUAUUGGCACCUGAAGGCACUAAUAUCAUAUUAUAUAACAAUGUUAUCCAAGAG